GGUGUUUACAGUGCCUUUUACAGGUCAAAGACUCCCUGGGGCUGAUGUUGUAACAGAACCUUCCUAUAUGUUGUUUUUAUUCAUUGUCAUAAGGACAAGCUGCCCUGAGGCAUUAGGCCACUCCGAGGCUUUUAAAAGUAUGUGCCAGGACAAACAUUGAUUGGAUGAAUGAACAACAUUUGGGAAUGCACAGCUAGGCCAAGCAGCAACAGGCUGUAGUCCUGUGCAUGCUUUCCUGGGAGUAAGGCCUGUUGAACAUAAGGGAGAGCAAACGUGCAUUGGGUUGUGUGUCUUUGAUUUGACGCUUGAACAAACAGAAGGAUAGAGAUAUAGCAGCACAAGUAAUCAUUGCCUCAACCACCCCCUUUAAUAGCUUCUCAAAUAGCAACCUACAAAGUAAUGCUAAUAAUGAGCCACUGAUGAGCUCAUCCAGAUGCCUUUUUUUUUUUUAAGCCGUGCAACAAGAACCUCAAGCAUCAACAACGAAAAUUGAUUAAGGAUGGGGCUCCACUGUGUCUGCCUUACUCUCCUAAUGAAUGGUAUUAUCUAUGCUGAAGACUUGCUUGUGAAGAGAGAGUUAUGGCAGGGAUGCUAAGAAACUUGUGUAUGAGAGUCGACUGAUCAAGCAGCCUCAUGUUGAAGAGACCUUGCCCGCCCACCCCAAACACAUGCCACAAAACUGGCAAUGUCAAGUGUCUUGCUCUAUGCUGAAGUGACCCUCGAGUCUAGAACAAAUCAUAUUGAGACCCCUUGUGGCAUAGUGCCAGCCUGUUAUUUCAUUAUGAGUUUGUGGGUGCCAGAGUUUGUGAAGGCAAAACACCCCUAAUUCCUGGAUUUAGUAAGUGUUAGAAUCAACGCUUGAAAUAUUAGGAUGGCCUACCACACGCUGAAGUUAGCCUGCAUGUCAAAAAACAGGCCAAAUCAGUUUUUGCAUGCUCAGAUAAUCGCUUGGGAGUGUCGCAGGACCCCCCCCCCCAAUCAUUCAGUUUGUACAAACUUCACACACACUCGCACUCACACACUACAUACGCUACACUUCUGUUAUAAAUUCAUAGAAAAUCAACCAUACAUCGGAUUUGCACUGUUCCACUUUUAUUGUAGUCCAUGAAGAAAGGACUACAAAAUGGGGAAGGUUUGAUACAGGGCAGCCAUAAUCCCUUGAGCAUACCAGCACAUACACAGGAGCCCUGCCCAGUUGCUAUGCCAACCCUGAUGGUCCUAGACAGAAGACCAUCAAGAUCACAAAGAACUUGCAUAUGGGAGUGGAUUCAGCACGGACUGGAACAAAGGACAAUAAUCAGCUCUUCCCUCUGGGGGCAGGAAACUGCAAACUCCCCUCUGUCACCUGGAAAGUACUCAUGGGGAGGGGGAAAGGGGGAACCAGCCAGGUGACAGGACACUCAGGGUACCACCACAACUCCUCCCUCAACCCCUCCUUUCUGUGAUGAAGGUGUGAUGUAUCUGAGGGGUGGUCUUAGGUUACACCCCUUCUGUGAUGUAUGUAUGAUGUUUCAAGGGGUGGUCUUGAUCUACAGGGUGGCAAUUUCAAAAGUCUUUAUAAGACCUGGCACACCAUUUUUCUGGGUCCUUCCUCUCUCCUGCAAGUGAGGGGAGCACCCUGUUGCAACAGAUCAAUAAAGGCCAAGCCUACAGGCUGCUGUUUUGCUCCAAGUUAUCCUGGUUGGUGUCUUUGUUUUUGUCCAAGGGAGCCCUCGGAUUUUUCCGUUAACAGGAGAAGAGCUAUCACAGAGAACAAACAGAACAUAAUGGGAGAUUAACAAAGCAGAUACUCUGGGCCGGACUGAUGGAUGGAGCCCUGCUUCCCAACUCUCCCACUGAGGCAGUCUGGUGGAAUGCCUGCUCUGGGGUGACAGUUGAGGGAGAUGAAAUCUGACAGGGCUGGCCUGUCAGCCAAGCUCAACUGAGCUGGUUUUAAUUUUUCUACAUUGCAAAUGGCUUCGAUCUCUCGUUACGAUGUGGCAGUAUAUAAAUAUAGUCGUUAACCAGUUGGCAUCCGUCUGUCUCGAGAGACAAUGGAGGAGUGUCCUUUUGAGGGUGAAGUCCCAAUUGUUGGAAGGUUGCAUGCGCUUGUUGUGGCUAUAAAGAACCGAUGUGGGAGAGACGUGUUUUGCUGCACCUGGGGCAGGUGAAGGCGUCUGGUUCUGCUGCUGCUGCACCAUUGCUUCUCUCUGCAUUCCUCUUUGUUAUUUAAACAGACAUCAGGUCUGACUUUCAAGUCCGCAGCUUUUUUUGCCUCCAGCUUCUAGUUCACAUAACUCAACUCUCUGCCCUGGCCUUUUGUCUUUCUGACUAACAGACUGCUGAGGGAGAGAGGUCUACCCACUCGCCACUCCUUUUGUUCUCUUAAGGAUCCAUGUUUGUAGAGGGCCAUUAACAGGCUGGUCUGGCUAUCCCAACAAUCAAAUCCCUGCUGUAUCUAAGAGUCAGAAGGGGGUGCUCAGCCUACCGCCCCCCCAACUCACAACAGUAUAAUAAUGAUACGUGAAAAUGUAGUAGUGAGUUAACAAAAUUUUAGGUUUUCAUGCUUUCAUUGAAAGCAUUUUGGGGGAAAAGUUUGAUGAAGGCUUUGUUUGUUCUCUGCAGAAGUUAAAGGAUUGUGCUGAAGGCUUUUGGUAGUUCUAUAGACUCAGCACUUCCGGACCAAUUUCCAUCCUUCAGUCACAAUGGGAUGGUUGGCUGGGGGGUGGAAAGGAAAGGAUCGUGUGGCCUGACUUUCCCAUCUGCCCUGCGACAGUCACAGAAAAUACAGAUCAGAUUACAGCUCGUUAUUCCAUAUUGUUUUUCUUCGGUGGGGAAAACACAACAAUGAUUUAGCUUCUGUCAUAGCCAUUGUGCGCUUGUGAUUACAGAUUCACUGCGCCUUGACGAAAGUUUCUUGAGGUUCUGCACGUCAGAAGCCUGGCUGCUCCCUGCAAAGCACCCCAAAUGCUGGCACAUUCUUGUAUGGCUUUUGUACGGCUGCAAUAUUUCCUUGAUUUCAAAGGAAGUUAAAUGAGCUCCAUUGUCAGGCAGGGGCGAGAGGCCUAAGAACAAGGCAUCAUAUUUCGCAACAGUGUGAUUUAUUUCUCCUUGUGCCUGCUUUUAAAUGGCAGUCCUUUCCUAUUUAUAAUUCCGCUCGCUACUGUGCUAGUAAUAGGCUCUCGCUGGGACGCCUUUGUUCCAGUCCUUAGCCCAGUAACAACAUAAGUAAGUGGCUUGAAAUUGUUUCACUCCAGCCCUCUGUUGUG